rnacentral:rRNA from 1 species
UACGGAGGAUGCAAGCGUUGUCCGGAAUCAUUGGGCGUAAAGCGUCUGCAGGUGGUUUGGAAAGUCUGUUGUUAAAGACUAGGGCUUAACCCUAGGUAAGCAGUGGAAACUUCUAGACUUGAGUAUGGUAGGGGUAGAGGGAAUUUCCAGUGUAGCGGUGAAAUGCGUAGAUAUUGGAAAGAACACCAGUGGCGAAAGCGCUCUACUAGGCCAUUACUGACACUCAGAGACGAAAGCUAGGGGAGCAAAUGGG